GUCAGGAACCUCAGCUAUAAGGCAUGAGGCUUGUAAGAGAAAUCAAACAAGCCGUUCUGACCAGCCUAAGUCUUAACUGACUACGUUUUUUGAGUCACGAUACCGGAGAAUGCGAAGCUAGUUUUCCGCUCUAUCGUUGAAAGUUAAACAGUUCUAAGGUCACUGGAACAGUGCUUUCAGCCUAAAAAGCUCUCAAAACAUUGGCGAAGCUAACUUUAC
rfam:Oscillatoria nigro-viridis PCC 7112, complete genome.